rnacentral:lncRNA from 10 species
GUAUACUCCUGGGAGCAAAAUUUGAAGCAUAUUGCUUUCUCUUUACCUGAUUUCUAUGGAAUUUAGAAACUACUUGUGAGUAUUCUCAACUUAUGGCAGUAUAGUUAUUUGAAUAAGUGCAAUGAGAAUCUGUUCUCUUCUGAAACAAGACACAAUUGGAGAAACUGGUUAUUUUACCAAGGCUUUGACUAAAAUGACAUGCUUUCUUUAGGGAAUCAAAGUGGACUUAUAAAGCCAAUAAAGCCCCUUGGGAAAGCUGGCCUCAUGCAUUGUCUACAGAGUCCUUGUACAGAGUUCCUGACCAGUGACAAUUCACCCCUUAUUUCUGCACCCGGGCCAGGCUGCUCUUACCUCUCAACCCUGUUACCCACUGGUUCUCAGUAUGCGCCUGAGAUCCCAGGGAAGGUGCUUGGAAUAGAUCUGAGUAUUCUGCCUGAGACAGGACUUGGAGUGACUCUGGUAAGAGUCCAGGUGGAGCCCCUGAGGAGGUGUUGGUAGUGACCACAGUCAGUCUGGCAGGAUUGAGGAAAGUGGUCCCAAUCAAUGUUUUGGGAGGCAGCUGAAGAAAAAAGAUCCCAGCCUCUAAGAGAAUUUUUGUCCGCAAACUCUGCUGGAAGAAGGGGGUUGGAUCUGCUGAUACCACUGCAGAGAACCCCUAAAUGCCUGCAUCCUAUUCUGCAGGAGCCUCUGUGAAGCAGUGUUUGGGGAGCCAGUUUAGGGGAACACAGCAAAGUGUUCGAUCAGGGGUUUAGUGAUGAUGGUAGGAAGCAAUUAUUGAUUAAACCCCAAGCCGACUUCUAUCUCUAGAAUCCUGAAUGUCUAGAAAUAGCCUAGGAACUGGCUCUUUCUUGAUAUAUAUUAAUUCUUACCCUCAGAGCAGGGUAAUCCAACAUUUUGGGAGGCACUGGACAAAGAUACAGCCUAUCUCUAGUAUCUUAUGGAAUGAUGAUCAUAUUGGGUGAUCAGUUGAAAUGAGUUUUUCAGAGUCACCAGGAUAUUGAGGAUAACAACAAAUCAAAACACACCCCAAGCUGAAACAAGAAGCCUUGUAAGCAACUGAAUUUAGGAAAAUUAACUCCUGAUUUACAUGUAACUAAAGUUGAGGUGGUCCAGGGUGAUGGAGGGGCAGAAUUUGGAUAGAAUCAGCACAAUCCUCUACAGUGACUUCAUUCUGGAAAUGGUGACUAGCUGUUUCCGACUUGGCUUAUUCUCUUCAUGUGGUGUUCUUUCCCCUCCCUGCUUUAUUUCCUUCUAUUAUUAGUGAGAUGAACUGCCUGCUGCAGAAAUUAUAAGGUCUUUCAAGGUCAAAGAAGGACUCUGACUCAUGUAUCCCAUUUCCUCUCCCCUCCCUUUUAUACCCAAGCUAGCACUGUGCUUUUCUAAGUUUGAAAAGUUUACAAGUUCAUAAAAAAGAAAAAAAACCUUAAAAAAUCUUAAAAAAUAGAAAGCUUUGAUUUCUUUGUGUUUCUUGAUGACUUCACCUUUACUUAGCACAAUUAUUUAUCCUCUCCUUUCUCUUUUAUUUGCUAGUUAUUGAGAAUUUUUAAUUUAUAUUUUAUUCUUUUGAGACAGGGUCUUACUCUGUUGCCCAGGCUGGGGUGCAGUGGUGAGCUCUCUGCUCACUGCAACCUCUGCCUCCUGGGCUCAAGGGAUCCUUCCAUCUCAGCCUCCUGAGUAGCUGGGACUACAGGUAUGUGCCACCAUACCCAGCUAAUUUUUGUAUUUUUUGUAGAGAUGGGGUCUCACUGUGUUGCCCAAGCUGGUCUCAAACUCCUGGGCUCAAGCAAUCCUCCCACCUCAGCCUCUCAAAGUGCUGAAAUUACAGGUAUGAGCCACUACACCUGGCCUGUUAUUGAGAAUUUAUUGUGUGGCUAGGCCCAUUUCUUGUCAGCUACCUUUCAUUAGACCUCAACACCAAAUAUCUCUCUGACUGUGCCUCUGUGUGGUAUUUCCCAUUAUCUGUGACCUUUUACUACUGGAUUUAAAUUAUUAAAAGGAUCUCUCCAGCUUACCUUUUCCUAUGAGCCUGAACUCAAACAUGUUACUGACUGUGCUAUUGGCAAAGCAUCUGAUUUGUUUUUGCUUUGGGUCCUUUCUCUCAUCCUCACUCGUAUAUUUCUGCACCACCAGAAAUUGGUUCUUUUCUUUAUUCCCUACUUAUCUAUUUUGGAAAGAUUUGAAUCAGAUAAAAGUUGGGCAAUAGGCACAUCAGAGGAAA